CCUACGGGUGGCAGCAGUGAGGAAUAUUGGUCAAUGGCCGAAAGCCUGAACCAGCCAAGUAGCGUGAGGGAUGAUUGCCCUCUGGUUUGUAAACUUCUUUUGUAAGGGAGUAAAUUAUUCCACGUGUGGGUUUUGGAUUGUACCUUAUGAAUAAGGAUCGGCUAACUCCGUGCCAGCAGCCGCGGUAAUACGGAGGAUCCGAGCGUUAUCCGGAUUUAUUGGGUUUAAAGGGUGCGUAGGUGGUUUGUUAAGUCAGUGGUGAAAGUUUGCGGCUCAACCGUAAAAUUGCAGUUGAAACUGGCAGUCUUGAGUACGGGAGAGGUAGGCGGAAUUCGUGGUGUAGCGGUGAAAUGCUUAGAUAUCACGAAGAACUCCGAUUGCGAAGGCAGCCUACUGGACUGCGACUGACACUGAGGCUCGAAAGUGUGGGUAUCAAACAGGAUUAGAUACCCUUGUAGUC
rnacentral:rRNA from 1 species